GACGAACGUUAGCGGCAGGCCUAACACAUGCAAGUCGAGCGAGAAUAGGGCUUCGGCUCUUAGUAAAGCGGCGGACGGGUGCGUAACACGUAGAUAAUCUGCCCUCUAGCGGGGAACAACAGUCCGAAAGGAUUGCUAAUGCCGCAUGUCACUGCGGGGACUCCGGUCCUUGUUGGAAAAGGGGCCCGCAAGGGUCUCACUAGAGGAUGAGUCUGCGGCCCAUCAGCUUGUUGGCGGGGUAAUGGCCCACCAAGGCUAAGACGGGUAGCUGGUCUGAGAGGAUAACCAGCCACACUGGGACUGAGACACGGCCCAGACUCCUACGGGAGGCAGCAGUGGGGAAUAUUGGACAAUGGGCGCAAGCCUGAUCCAGCCAUGCCGCGUGAGUGAUGAAGGUCUUCGGAUCGUAAAGCUCUGUGGGAAGGGAAGAAAAAAAGUAUACCUCAUACGUAUGCUCUUGACGGUACCUUCUUAGCAAGCACCGGCUAAACUCUGUGCCAGCAG
rnacentral:rRNA from 1 species